UCCUGAGCAAUGUGCCUGGUUCAUGGAGAGAGCCUGCAGGAUUACUUUUUGAAGCCUGGAAAAGGAAACUUGAGGUAAUACCAUCAAUUGUGAAACCUGGGGACACAGGUGGUUACUUUGUUACAAUAGAAAAGCAGCUCCAUGGCCUCUAACUGCCAUGUGGGGUGAAAUUCUGAACUUGGAAGGCUCAAAGUAAGGGACUCUGCAUGCCUUACAAGCACAGCGACUGCCUUUGAUCAGAUCAAUCCUUGUACCUGGAGGGUUCUGACUUCCUAUUCUUCCCACAGUCCCCACGUUUGCUCAGCUUUCUAGCAGUUCUUCCCACCAAGACAGCGGACAUUGCCCAGGUGCACUGAGCCUGUGUGAUGCUGGACACUGAUGACUUUCUUCACGGGAGGGCUGGGGCCCCAGCCUGGAGCAAAGGAUGGCAGCAC